GUGCGUGUGUGUGUUUUAAACUGCUGCUGGUGUAGAGGACCAUUAAUUUAACAGGAAGGCCUCUCCUUAAUGUAAUCAAGAAACAACACAGAGAUGGCGUGUUUUGUUUACGGAGAGAGAGAACGAAGAAGGUACUUUACCGUCCGAAGCGGAUCGUUUCCUUUGCCCCGGGCCCUGGCCCACUACACCAGUUUGAGCGCCAGCUGCUUCAGUCUUUUGAUCUGCACCCAGAGCGUCCUCCUCCUCCUCUUCUGUGAUUCCCUGAGAGCGCCUAAAGCCCGUCGUUGGGCAGUUGCCGUUGACAUCCAAGCCCCCACAGUGCUGGCUGCUAGCCUUGGCCAGGGCUUUGCUUAGCCUGGGGGGUCUGCUGUAAAACUCGGGCAGGGCAUCUUUACCCACGGCUUGCCACUCAUACCUGCCUUCCAAGGGCUGAUAGUUGUAGAAAUCAAAAUUCCACUUCCUUCGACUGGCCUCUUCUAGGUCCCGGCUGUGUUUCUCCAACUCCUGGGCUAACUUUUCGUGAUCCACUGGGCCGAAGAGGUUCCUGCAAGCCGAGGGUUUGGGGUAGUCCGCUUGCCUAGCUUCCAUCCUCUCCAGGGUAGGGCUUCCAUUCGAAAUGCGUACGUUGGACAUCGCCUAAGCCGUCCCCAGCCGCCUUUGCUGUCCACGGUGGUUGAAUCGGCGUCUUUAAAAAUAUCGAUGUCGAUAGUCCUCCCUCGAUCUUGUGCGAACAGAGAGGGGUAAAAAGGCGGGUUUUAAACUCGACCCCAACUGCGAGGAAGCUUCAAAACAAAAACAAACCGAAAAAAAGCCCCCACUAUCACCGCCACCAGCGCCUUGCAUAAGCCGGGGGGGGGACACCCUGAUAUUCAAGCAGAAUGUCUUAUUACGAAUCAAAGGUACCAACGGAGGAAGAAGAGGAUCAGGAGUAAGAGGUAAAAACAGAAGGAGCGCUUAAAUAAAUAUAUAUAAAUGCUUUGCCCGCAAAUCCAAAUGGAGAUGGAUGCUGCCCGUGCGGAUCCUGAGUUUGCAAAGUGAGCUUUUGCAAAGCCUUGUCCGAUGUCAAAACUUUGCCGUGCUUUUUUUUUUUUUUUUGUAAGGUUGGGGAAAAACAAGGAGGGGAAAGGAAAAAAAAAAGACGAGCCUCUUUUCACACAGUUGCCCAAUAUGGCGAUUGAAGGGAGGCUGACGGAGGAGAAAAUGAUUGACACGACCCGUCUAUUUAAAUAGAGAAGGCGCGCCAUUGGUUUAAGAGCGGGCGCCGCCCCGUCACAACGCUCCUGACUCUCACGGAACGAGACUUUUUUAAAGGUGGCCCGGGAAGGAUGGCCUUGCUGCGCACCAAUAUGGGUCGUUGCUGGAGGACCGUUUUGUCGGAAGAACUAGAGGGAUUUUUUUGUUUGUGUUGAAUAAUAUUUCUCAGAGGGUAACAAGCAGUGCAGUUUUGCUCGCUUCGAGCAUGGUUUCUAGUUUCUAUAUCUGUACCAAUCGUUCUCCAACUCUGCGAACAAAAAGGUAGGAGCGGGCGGGCUUCAGUGUGGAUCUCCCAUGCUCUCGAGGAUCAGCUCAGUGUCCGCCUGGGCCAGCAAUAUUUGGAAGAAUCCUAGGAGUUGCACUGGAAAUUGGCCAGAGACCCUACCAGCGGAUAACCGUUUUGUUUCUGCCUUCUCCCAAGCCCUGUUAAACAGAGAGAAAAGUCUAAGGUGAAAAAGGAGCUCCGAGAUCUGUCAUGGAUAUUAACCAACCAAGACUGUUUAAAAUCAGGAAGAAAUACACAAUUCGAACCUGAUUUAAGGUGAGGCUGUUGAUGUGCUGAACCGUUGCCUGGCCGCGACAAUGGACUGGAUGAGAACUAACAAACUGAGGCUUAAUCCUGACAAGACUGAGAUGCUGUUGGUGGAUGGUUUCUCUAAUCGGAUGGUGGAUACAUACCCUGUCCUAGAUGGGGUUACACUCCCCCUAAAGGAGCAGGUUCGUAGUCUGGGAGUCCUUCUAGACUCUUCCCUCUGACUUGAGGCUCAAGUAGCCUCGUUGGCACGGAAUGCGUUCUACCAACUUCGGUUGGUAGUCCAGCUACGUCCCUAUUUGAGUAAGGAGGACCUUACAUCAGUUGUUCAUGCUCUGGUGACCUCGCGUUUGGACUACUGCAACAUGCUCUACGUAGGGCUGCCUUUGAAGACAGUUCGGAAGCUACAGCUAGUGCAAAAUGCGGCGGCCAGAUUGUUAACAAGGACCAAGCGGUCCGAGCAUAUAACACCUGUUCUGGCUCACCUGCACUGGUUGCCAAUAUGCUUCCGGGCCAGAUUCAAAGUGUUGGUAUUAACCUAUAAAGCCUUAUACGGCGCGGGACCACAAUACUUGUCGGAACGCCUCUCCCGAUACGAACCGGCCCAUAUUCUACGUUCUUCUACGAAGGCCCUCCUCCGGGUUCCAACUCAUAGGGAGGCUCGGAGGGUGGUGACAAGGGUGGCCCCUGAACUGUGGAAUGGUCUCCCCAAGGAGGUGUGCUUGGCGCCGACAUUCUUAUCCUUUCGGUGCCGAGUUAAAACCUUCCUCUUCUCCGAGGCAUACUAAUUUAAGUUAAUUUAAAAUCUGCUGUGAUUGUUUUUAAAUUAUUUUAUUUUAUAUGUUUUUGUUGUAUUAUACUAUGUGAUUGUAUUGUAUUUUCUGUGUUCACCGCCCAGAGAGCUAUUGCUAGUCGGGCGGUAUAUAAGUCUAAUAAAUAAUAAUAAUAAUAAUAAUAUAGGGAUUGGUACUAAAGGGACUACGAAGGUAAAAGACACUAGAGCCUUGGUGGGCACCUGCUUAAGCAGGGAAGGUCUUCGUAUGUAAACGACGGCUCCUCCAGAGUUUCACCCUCUGAAAGUCUCUCUUCUCACGCCUUCUCACGUGGGGCAAGGGGGGGUGAGCCUCCGAUGGCCUAUCUGACAGCCGGGCUUCACUAGGUGAUAGCGCAACCUCAGGGAGCUGGAAGCUGGUUGGCGGGGGAGCGGGUUGGCACAUUUGAAGGGUUGCUUCCCAAUGGUUCAGGCGAGGAGCUCGCAGGCAGGGUGGGAUCUGCCUCAAUGGGGGUGCUGGCCGAGGAAGUCUGCGGGCUGGCAGAGGCCCCCCUCCUUCAACACCCCCAAGGACCUCGUCCUCAUCUGACUCCUCUCCCUGAUCUAAUCCCCCUUGUGCAUAGAGUGCAACAUCACCCCCCUCCAUGCUCCAUCUCCCUCCACCAGGGCCAGCGCUAAGGGGCGGUGAGGUUGGGCCCUGGCCAAGGGCCCUGUAGCCCAGAGGGGCCCCUCUUUAGGCUGGGGGAGUAGCACUCCCCUUCUGCGAUCCGUGGCAGAAUCGCUGCUGCAGAUAGCACUGCCCACCUGUUCCCUCGUUCCACUACCUUUCCUGUGUUUUGCGGAUGCGCAAGCAGUGCUGCCCUUAACCAAGAUGGUGGCCAAGGUUUCCCUAACGGGCUGAAGCGUCCACUUACCAUCUUGGUUGAAAAAGCUUAACCUGCAGAUUUCUGGGCAUCUGGCUGCUGUUGAAAACACAGGAACUAAGAUUGUCAAUUGGCCAGAAGUGUGCACUCUCAUGCCUUUAACAACAGCUUGAUCUGGAGAAGUCAGCAGUUGAAGCUUGUCACAACAUGAAGUUAAGCGUGGUUACCCACCGAUGUCUGCAGACCUGGUGUGUUCAAGGUACAGAAGUAGGGAUUGGUUAAAAAAAAAGUUGACAGUCCUAACAGGAGCAGAGCCAGACAAAAAAAAUGCACCCACUUCAUGGGUUGAAAAAACCCUACGACCUACUCCACCACGGUAAUGUUCUUUUUCUGUCUCUCAGGUGAGAUUCAGAUCUAUGCCACUGUGGAAUAGAAAUGGCUGACUCCUGAGAUCUUCAUGUCCAGUGUAGUUCCCACACUGUUUUCUCCUAUUGUAAAUUUCUUGGGCAAUGAAUGAUUGCACUGGUGAGUUUUAGCCUAACUGCUGUUGAGCCUUUUCCAGUCUCAUUUCAUCGCAAUAAAAUUAAAUUGAUGUGACCAUUAAGGGCACUAUUCUGGUUGAGGAUAAAGAAAUGGGUUCAGGAUGGCCUUCUGAAAACUAAUGGUUUGAAGUGGCGCUGUGCAACUGAAUAGCAAGGCAAGCAUAUUUAGGCCAAAGUGAGGCCCUUCCAAGGUAAGGACCCUCCAAGAUGAUCUGAGCAGAAAUGACCCCCACCCUACCUACCCACUGAGCUCUUUAGAGAUAUUUGGAGUUUAAAAAACCAUGAUCUAAGCUGGAUAGCCUGUCUCUAAAAUGAUAGAGAAAAUGUAAACACCACAUAAGGGAAACACCAGUGUGGGGAAGAGUUUGCUCACUGACACCUCUAGCUUCCAAUCUAGGGCUGGAAUCUCACUCAACACUCUCCAGUCACCGUGCUUGGGGGGGGGGUAUGUUGAUUCUAUGAAAUCUUUCUCCGAGUGCCUUUUUCUCACUCUUUGGCUAGUUCUCUGAAUGUUACAAAGAGUUCAUUGGUGGCAUUUUGAUUCAGCUUAUCUCUUGUAUUUAUCCUUAACCCAGUCUUUCUACCUGUUUGGUUUCCCUUUGUUCCUUUCCAUCUUUCCUAAUCCAUCCC